rnacentral:rRNA from 1 species
ACACACCUACGGGACGCAGCAGUAGGGAAUCUUCCACAAUGGACGAAAGUCUGAUGGAGCAACGCCGCGUGAGUGAAGGAGGGUUUCGGCUCGGAAAGCUCUGUUGGUAGUGAAGAAAGAUAGAGGGAGUAACUGGCCUUUAUUUGACGGUAAUUACUUAGAAAGUCACGGCUAACUACGUGCCAGCAGCCGCGGUAAUACGUAGGGUGCAAGCGUUGUCCGGAUUUAUUGGGCGUAAAGGGGGGGCAGGCGGUU